rnacentral:rRNA from 1 species
GAAGUCAACUAUUAUUUAAUAUACACAUGCAAGUUUCCGCACCCCUGUGAAAACGCCCUAAAAUCCCCAAUAGGGAAUAGGAGCCGGUAUCAGGCACUACCCAACCGCCCAAGACACCUAGCCUCGCCACACCCACAAGGGCUUGCAGCAGUGAUUAACAUUGAGUAUAAGCGACAGCUUGACUCAAUUAAAUUAUUUAGAGCUGGCCAAUCUGGUGCCAGCCGCCGCGGUUACACCAGAAGCUCAAAUUGACCUCUACCGGCGUAAAGCGUGAUUAAAGCCACUACCUCUUGGAAUCCAACUAAAACUGAGCUGUGACACGCCUGUUACACAAGAAGACCAAAGACGAAAGUUAUUCCAA